rnacentral:rRNA from 1 species
AGAGUUUGAUCCUGGCUCAGGAUGAACGCUAGCGACAGGCUUAACACAUGCAAGUCGAGGGGCAGCACAGGUAGCAAUACCGGGUGGCGACCGGCGCACGGGUGAGUAACGCGUAUGCAACUUGCCUAUCAGAGGGGGAUAACCCGGCGAAAGUCGGACUAAUACCGCAUGAAGCAGGGGCCCCGCAUGGGGAUAUUUGCUAAAGAUUCAUCGCUGAUAGAUAGGCAUGCGUUCCAUUAGGCAGUUGGCGGGGUAACGGCCCACCAAACCGACGAUGGAUAGGGGUUCUGAGAGGAAGGUCCCCCACAUUGGUACUGAGACACGGACCAAACUCCUACGGGAGGCAGCAGUGAGGAAUAUUGGUCAAUGGGCGUAAGCCUGAACCAGCCAAGUCGCGUGAGGGAUGAAGGUUCUAUGGAUCGUAAACCUCUUUUAUAAGGGAAUAAAGUGCGGGACGUGUCCCGUUUUGUAUGUACCUUAUGAAUAAGGAUCGGCUAACUCCGUGCCAGCAGCCGCGGUAAUACGGAGGAUCCGAGCGUUAUCCGGAUUUAUUGGGUUUAAAGGGUGCGUAGGCGGCCUUUUAAGUCAGCGGUGAAAGUCUGUGGCUCAACCAUAGAAUUGCCGUUGAAACUGGGAGGCUUGAGUAUGUUUGAGGCAGGCGGAAUGCGUGGUGUAGCGGUGAAAUGCUUAGAUAUCACGCAGAACCCCGAUUGCGAAGGCAGCCUGCCAAGCCAUUACUGACGCUGAUGCACGAAAGCGUGGGGAUCAAACAGGAUUAGAUACCCUGGUAGUCCACGCAGUAAACGAUGAUCACUAGCUGUUUGCGAUACACUGUAAGCGGCACAGCGAAAGCGUUAAGUGAUCCACCUGGGGAGUACGCCGGCAACGGUGAAACUCAAAGGAAUUGACGGGGGCCCGCACAAGCGGAGGAACAUGUGGUUUAAUUCGAUGAUACGCGAGGAACCUUACCCGGGUUUGAACGCAUUCGGACCGAGGUGGAAACACCUUUUCUAGCAAUAGCCGUUUGCGAGGUGCUGCAUGGUUGUCGUCAGCUCGUGCCGUGAGGUGUCGGCUUAAGUGCCAUAACGAGCGCAACCCUUGCCACUAGUUACUAACAGGUAAAGCUGAGGACUCUGGUGGGACUGCCAGCGUAAGCUGCGAGGAAGGCGGGGAUGACGUCAAAUCAGCACGGCCCUUACAUCCGGGGCGACACACGUGUUACAAUGGCGUGGACAAAGGGAGGCCACCUGGCGACAGGGAGCGAAUCCCCAAACCACGUCUCAGUUCGGAUCGGAGUCUGCAACCCGACUCCGUGAAGCUGGAUUCGCUAGUAAUCGCGCAUCAGCCAUGGCGCGGUGAAUACGUUCCCGGGCCUUGUACACACCGCCCGUCAAGCCAUGGGAGCCGGGGGUACCUGAAGUCCGUAACCGCGAGGAUCGGCCUAGGGUAAAACUGGUGACUGGGGCUAAGUCGUAACAAGGUAGCCGUACCGGAAGGUGCGGCUG